GGGGAUGUGGCACAAGCGGUAGCGCGCUCGCCUGGCAAGCGUGCGGCCCGAGUUCGAUCCUCAGCACCA
rnacentral:tRNA from 1 species